GGGGGUACAGCUCAAUUGGUAGAGCACGUGCUUAGCAUGCAUGAGGUCCUGGGUUCAAUCCCCAGUAUCAACU
rnacentral:tRNA from 1 species